CAUAAGUUGUAUUACUAUCACAGUGUAGUGCUGCACUUAUAUCAAGUAGUGUUGAAGUUUGUUGCAUUCUGACUAACAGCCAAAGAUAAACCAACACAAUUAUUAUUUAGCAGGCUCCAUGACAUCACUUAAAUUUUCUAUCUUAUCUCUGAAUGCUAAUAGCUUGAAUUCCCUGCACAAGCGCAGGCAGAUCUUGAUUAUAUCAAGACCAAAAAUGUUACUAAAGCGUGCUUUCAAGAAACACAUUUCUGCGCCACCAACCUACCGGGACUGUCCUCAAGACAAUAUCCCCAAGCCUAUCAUGCGUAUGCCCCCAAUAAAACAUGAGGAGUGAGCAUUCUCAUACACUAAGACUGGGUAUUCCAGUGCAAUAAGCAAUAUAGGGACAAGGAAGGCAGACUAAUUGUGCUGGUGGGACCCCUAUAACGAUUGCAAACCUUUAUGCUUCCAGUUUCAACCAUAAAGAAGG